UGCUUCAACAUACUUAUUCUACAGUUGGUCCUAAAUAUAAACAAAUGUGGGGGAGAAUAACACCUCAACUCCAUUACUUCAGUUAUAUUAAAAUAUUCAGUUGCUCUGGGCUGUAAUUUUUUUCAUUUGUGAAACAGUAAUCUAAAACUGGCAAAAAGGGCCACAAAGUCUUGAAAACUCCAUGAAGUUCUCAAUCCUUACCCCUUUCUUGGAAUACAGGCAGAUGUCAGUUUGGCCACAGUUUGUGUCUGUGCUGCUGUCGGGUCCAGGCUUUACUGCUAAGCUUGCUGCAACCCAGAAUACUCUCUUAAGACCUGAACUGUCGUAUAUGAAAAUCUGGCUGAAGAGACCAUGUGAAGAGGCCCUGAGACCACACAGACAGACAGAGACCUUUGCUGGAGCUGGACUCUGGAACUCUGCUCUGUAGGCCAGGCUGGCCUCAAACUCAGAGCUCUGCCUGCCUCUGCCUCCCAAGGACUGGGAUUAAAGGAUUACACUGGAUGCUGCCAUUGAGAGGGAAAGCCUUCACUGCCAGUUUACAGUAUCUUCAACCAAUAAAAUGUGCUCCUCCUAGCUGGAAUGUGGGUGGAGGUGUUUUUGAGGGUAACUCACGCUGGCCUUGAACUCUUGAUAUUCCUGCCUCCACUUCCUGGACCUAAUAUGCGUUUUAAUAUUUUCUUGAUUAAUAAUGUGUUGAAUAUCUUUAUCUAUUCCCUGACUAAACAAAGCGACUUGCCUAUGUUUCUGUU